rnacentral:rRNA from 1 species
GUUUAAGGAUCUUGGGAUAGUUGGGGUUAAGUGUCUUUGGGUUUGAAUAGUACUAGGCUGGGUGACCUCCCGGGAAGUCCAAACUUAUGAGCU